UUCUUCGUGUGUAGUGGUUAGCACGCUCGACUCGUCACCGAGAGGUCCGUGGUUCGAUUCCCGGCGAAGGCG
rnacentral:tRNA from 1 species